UUACUUUUUAGUAUCCUCAAUACACAAUACACACGCAAAUCUGGCAUUCUUUUCUCUCCAUCCUCUCACUGCCAGAGCUCACUGAAGCUCUGACAAAACCACUCCUUAAACCCGAUCCACCAUCAGCCCCCUUUUUUCCAUUUUUUUCGACCAAAUCCACUCCAAACCAGUAACGCCCUCUCUUUCCUCCUCCAUUUUACUGCUAGCUUGCCGAAGGUGGUGACCGGCAAGCUUUGAGCUCCAGCCGUGCCACCACGACGCCCCUCUCUCAUUGAUCUCUCUUUUUCCCUCUCCUAUCACUGCACCCUCUUUCCACUGCCCAGAUCGUGAUGGGCCAGAUCUGUCCGAAAUUUGUAUUGCCGGUGUUGCUUCAAUGAAGUCGUAGAAGCAACAUCACAACUUUUCCCUUUAUCCUCUUUGUUUUGCUACUGUUUCACUAAUAGCGACUAGAUAUGGUCGGACUUUUCAUGGUUUAAGUGUUCCUCCGAUCAGGCAGACAGGAUGUCGUCUCUAGUGACCUCUUCUUUAAUAUGUAUUUAUAUAUGUUAUAAUUAUUUUCUUGAUUUAUUUUUUGUUGUUCAUUAUAUCGUUUUUUUUCAAUUUUUAUCAGAUUUGUGGUUUGUUCGGGUGUUUUGAUUGUUACUUGCUAGUAUCAUAGUUGUGGAACAACUUUGCUAGUUUCAUGUCUGUUAUUGCCUUUGUUUUGGGGCUGAUUAACAUUCUGUUUUGGGUAAUUGCAUUACAUUUUACCCCUUAUAAUUUUAUUACACUAAUAAUGAACAAGAUACUACAUAUUUAGGGCGAUAAAGAAAUUUUUCGUCGAUUUUUGAGGCCUCCAUAAAUAAAAGACGGAUAUUACGUAUACAAAUAUGUAAUAAAAAGGGUUUUAUCAUUCUUAUUUUGGCAAGGAAAUUUAGGACGAUCAAUCAAUUGAGCAACCACUACGUAGCCAUGCCGCAUCUAAAAAUUUAAUCCGAGCCCAUCUUUUACCAAAAAUUAUAUUUUAAAAUACAUAUAUGCACACAUACCUUUAAAAUUUAUUUUGAUAAUUAUUUAUUUGUUACUAACAUUUUUGUUACAAGUGUUUAUACAGGUGUUUGAGAAUACUCGUUGGGAAAGACAUUUAAAGAAGAUUUUAAAUUGUUUUGUACUUUUAUUUUUUUAUACUUGUACAAAUAUUAUCAUAGUGAAAAUUUUAUUUUUGGGGUGUUGGGUG
rnacentral:lncRNA from 1 species